rnacentral:rRNA from 1 species
UACGUAGGGUGCAAGCGUUAAUCGGAAUUACUGGGCGUAAAGCGUGCGUAGGCGGUUAUGUAAGUCAGGUGUGAAAUCCCCGGGCUUAACCUGGGAACUGCAUUUGUGACUGCAUAGCUAGAGUACGGCAGAGGGGGAUGGAAUUCCGCGUGUAGCAGUGAAAUGCGUAGAUAUGCGGAGGAACACCGAUGGCGAAGGCAAUCCCCUGGGCAUGUACUGACGCUCAUGCACGAAAGCGUGGGGAGCAAACAGG